rnacentral:rRNA from 1 species
UUAUCCGGGUUGAGGACAGUGCCUGGUGGGUAGUUUGACUGGGGCGGUCUCCUCCCAAAGAGUAACGGAGGAGCACGAAGGUGGGCUAAUCACGGUUGGACAUCGUGAGGUUAGUGCAAUGGCAUAAGCCCGCUUAACUGCGAGAAUGACGGUUCGAGCAGGUGCGAAAGCAGGUCAUAGUGAUCCGGUGGUUCUGUAUGGAAGGGCCAUCGCUCAACGGAUAAAAGGUACUCCGGGGAUAACAGGCUGAUACCGCCCAAGAGUUCAUAUCGACGGCGGUGUUUGGCACCUCGAUGUCGGCUCAUCACAUCCUGGGGCUGAAGUCGGUCCCAAGGGUAUGGCUGUUCGCCAUUUAAAGUGGUACGCGAGCUGGGUUUAGAACGUCGUGAGACAGUUCGGUCCCUAUCUGCCGUGGGCGUUGGAAGAUUGAAGGGGGCUGCUCCUAGUAC